GAUGAACGCUGGCGGCGUGCCCAAUACAUGCAAGUCGAGCGGUAAGGCCUCUUCGGAGGUACACGAGCGGCGGACGGCUGAGUAACGCGUAGGAACGUACCCCAAAGUGAGGGAUAAGCACCAGAAAUGGUGUCUAAUACCGCAUGUGGCCCACGGGCUAAAGCUUCGGCGCUUUGGGAACGGCCUGCGUAAGAUUAGCUAGUUGGUGAGGUAAUGGCUCACCAAGGCGACGAUCUUUAGCUGGUCUGAGAGGAUGAUCAGCCAGACUGGGACUGAGACACGGCCCAGACUCCUACGGGAGGCAGCAGUAGGGAAUUUUCCACAAUGGGCGAAAGCCUGAUGGAGCAACGCCGCGUGCAGGAUGAAUGCCUUCGGGUUGUAAACUGCUUUUAUAUGCGACGAAUAUGACGGUAGCAUAUGAAUAAGGAUCGGCUAACUCCGUGCCAGCCGCCGCGGUAA
rnacentral:rRNA from 1 species